UACGUAGGGUGCAAGCGUUAAUCGGAAUUACUGGGCGUAAAGCGUGCGCAGGCGGUUUGUUAAGACGGAUGUGAAAUCCCCGGGCUUAACCGUGGAACUGCUUGGUAUACUGGGUGUCUUGAGCCAACUAGAGGCAGUCGGAACAAACGGUGGAGCGGUGAAAUGCGUAGAUAUCGUUUGGAACGCCAAUGGUGAAAACAGACUGCUGGGGUUGUGCUGACGCUGAGACACGAAAGCCAGGGGAGCGAACGGG
rnacentral:rRNA from 1 species